CGGGGUGUGUGGAUUGUAUUAGUUAGUCAGGUAAGGAGAGUAUUAAAAGCCCAACCCGUAUAAAAUAGUCGGAUAAUUAAAUAAUACAAGUUGACACCAAACACCUGACAUAGACUAUUUACUCCUAUCCAGAGUCUAAUACGGUGUACCAAACGAGCCCUUAAAGUUACUCCAUCUGAGUAGUCAAAGGCUGGAAGUGAUAUGUCAAAAAUAAUAUAUUUAAAAAUUUGAUGUCAAAUAUUUUUUUUGUCAUAG
rnacentral:lncRNA from 1 species